UUGUCCGGAAUUACUGGGUGUAAAGGGAGUGUAGGCGGGAUAUCAAGUCAGAAGUGAAAAUUACGGGCUCAACUCGUAACCUGCUUUUGAAACUGACAUUCUUGAGUGAAGUAGAGGCAAGCGGAAUUCCUAGUGUAGCGGUGAAAUGCGUAGAUAUUAGGAGGAACACCAGUGGCGAAGGUGGCUUGCUGGGCUUUUACUGACGCUGAGGCUCGAAAGCGUGGGGAGCAAACAGGAUUAGAUACCCUGGUAGUCCACGCCGUAAACGAUGAUUACUAGGUGUGGGGGGAUUGACCCCUUCCGUGCCGGAGUAAACACAAUAAGUAAUCCACCUGGGGAGUACGACCGCAAGGUUGAAACUCAAAGGAAUUGACGGGGGCCCGCACAAGCAGUGGAGUAUGUGGUUUAAUUC
rnacentral:rRNA from 1 species